rnacentral:misc_RNA from 1 species
UUUCCGUAGGUGAACCUGCGGAAGGAUCAUUAAUGUAACCGGACCGUUCCUUUGCCGUAAAGUGCACUGGAUUGGAAAGGGAGAUAUCAUACACCCUAUGUUUAUUUACUUUUGUUGCUUUGGUGGGCCGUCCUUUACGGCGUCGGCCUCGGCUGAUCGCGCCCGCCAGAGGACCCAAACUCUUUUAUUAGUGAUGUCUGAGUACUAUAUAAUAGUUAAAACUUUCAACAACGGAUCUCUUGGUUCUG